AAAAAGCCGUCUCCUCUUGUGUCAAUACACCUGCUGCUGACAGGUGAAAUGAGUUGUGCUAGCUGCUCCUUGUCAAGUCUGCUCUGAUAGCUGGGACAUCUGACUUAAAUUCCAACUGUUAGCAAAAGACGGCUCUUUUCCCCCGGAUGAAUGACUUCUUUUUUUUUUCCCCUAUACCCCCACUCUGCAUCCCGUCAAAAGGCCUAUUAUGUGGAGAAGCAUCUUGGGUAAAACUGACAAUUGGUUGUCUCUUGGGAAUAUGCAGGAGAGGAUCAGUGAUAGUAUGAAAAGGAAGAGAGUGGCAGAAGAGGGACAGCAAUUAUGCCUGUUUUUGUGAGGGGUUUCUUUAAUGUUCUUGUUGAAAACAGGAAAAAAGGAUGAGCCACAGAGGGCAGGGAGAGGAAGGUAUAUCCCGUUUUUAAUGCAGGGCUCUUUCAAACAAUAGCAAUAUUAUUAGCAUAUUUCUUUAUGGUUUGAAUGAAUUGUUUGUGAGCAGUUUUGCUUCCAGAGUUACUGAAAAAGAGAUGGCAUUUACUCCCUUAAUGGUAACUUUUCUUUUCGGGUAGCCCUCAAAUAGGAAGAAGCAGAAUCACAGAAAGCUUUAGUGUGAAAGAGAGUUGAAUCAACACCAACUUUGCAAAGAAUAAACAGCAACGCAGCUCACUGACGUAGUUCUCCUGUCAUUCAAUAAUCAAACAGAGGCUGGAUCAAAAGCAGCGAAGCUCAAUAGUUGCGAAAAUCAACACGCCAACAACAAGCCUGUCCGAUAACAACCAAUAGUACAACCAAAAUUGACCCAUGCUGCCCUCUGGUUGACCAUAUCAAGUGUCCAAAGCGUGCGCUGGAGAUUCAAGCAGCUGUUUUCAGACUAGCGUGGCCGAAAACUCUGCAGCAUAGGCACAUUCAGAAAGUGUACACGUAGCUUUAAAGGAACACCAAUUUGUCCUCACUUUAGCUCUUCAGGGAGACGCCAUUUGCCUACUUUCCACAAACUACAGAACAUAACCAUUUAUUUAGAGCAUUCUCCCACAGCUAUUCUGGAUGACACAAAGAACAAGCCGCUGAUAUAAUUCAUGGCUCUCAUUAUUCUAAAAUGUUUGAGCGAGCAGCUACUUCCAAACAGAGCGUCUCCUUUCUUUUGUGGUUGUGGAUGGCUCUGCCCUACAGCAAGUGAAACACACACUCAGUACUUCUCAGACUUUCCACGUUCCCAUAAAGAUAUCAUGGCCUGGGAGUGUUUUGCUAUUUCUGUCUCAUCAGGCUGAAGAGCAUGGUAGCCAGACAGUCCAGGACCAAAUAAUCACUUUGAGCGCGUGGUAAGGAAACCGGCCUCUUCCGGUGUCACUGAUCCAAAGAUGUGCGAGAGUGCUCGGGGUCAUUAUAUCCCACUGGAAAGUUAAUCUCGCACCAAUUAGUUCCAGCCCAGAAGGUACCAACAGCUACUGUGCUAUGAAAUGGUGGUAUCCUUUGGGAGCCCUCCUCCCACCACUCUCCUCCACCUUUUUUUUUUCUUCCCAUAGAUCGACCUCUACACAAUGAAGCGCGGCCUUGCUAUCUCUCACACACACGGAUUCUCACUCUUUUUGUCAAACACUCUUUCCCUCUAAGGUUUUCUGUAUCGAUCCGGCUAUCAUUCUAUUUUAGCUCUGCAAUUACGUCUGGUGAUAUUACCGCCGGUGUUACACGACUCUUCUAAUUGGUGUGUCAAUAUGAUGUCAGAGCUCUUGCUGCUCUAUGAUUUGAGGUACAAGGUAAGUGCAUCUGAUUUAGGCUUUCGAAGUUUUCAAAUGGUCAUGUUCUCAUCGGUCUUGUAAGUAAACGAUGCACUAAGUAGAGGUGAUGGAUAGUGAAUCGUGGGGAUUCUUGUGGUCCUUGUGGGCCAUACUAAGUAGGGUGACCAUGCGUCCUCUUUUACCCGGACAUGUCCUCUUUUUUUGGGAACUGUCCAGCCUUGUCUGGCUUUGUCCAGGGGAGUUUAUAAAACUCUUCAAAUGUCUGCUGUUUUGUAUGGAAGUGUUGAGUUUGUGUCACAUGGAUUUACUGAGUUAGAAGCGCAUAAAAAACACUCAAUCCAACCCAAAAAGCUCUCAAAAUUAACUACAUGCGACUUCGUGACUCUGCCCCCGUGUAGUUGGGUCUUCUUUUUGGGGAUUCAGAAUGUGGUUACCGUAAUACUAAGUCAAUAGCUCAGGAGGUAGAGCGGUCGCCCAAUAACUGGAAGGUUGGCGGUUUGGUUCCCCCCUAUCUCGAGUCUAUCCGUUGUGUCCUUGGGCAAGACACUUAACCCACCUUGCUCCCAUUGUAUGUCCUCCACUGGUGUGUGGUUGUGAGUGUGUUGUGUGGUGGUGGUCGGAGAGGCCGUAGGCGCAAACUGGCAGCCACGUUUCUGUCAGUCUGCCCAGGGCAGCUGUGACUACUAAGGUAGUUUACCACCACCAGGGUGUGACUUUGUGAGCGAAUGAAUGAUAUAUCCAUGUAAAGCACUUUGAGAGUCUCUGAUAAAGCACUAUAUGAAAUCUGAUGCAUUAUUAUUAUUAUUCAAUUAGACAUUUGAUUCAUGGCUGUUAUACGUUAGGCUGCUGUUACAAUUCUGACUCACAACUCCAGCGUAACACUUGAACUAACAGUCUUGCCCCAGUGUAAAUAGUUAAAAAUGCUAGUGGAAACCAAAAUUUUGCCACUUUGUCAACAGGCAAACAUGUCAGACUUCUUUUCGCAGAUUAAUUUGAUAUGAUCUGUGUGUGAGAAAGUAACCACUAGCUUGCCCAUGUUUUGCUGUGUUCAUGCUCUGAGAGAAGAUCAGGCAGAUUUUUGGUCUAAAAUUGCAGAUUUUCUGUAAGAUACUGGGUGAUAGUGUGGAAAUUUAAAAGCAGGUGAAAUAUACUCAUUUUAUUUGAUUAUCUUUCUCGGGCUGCAGUGCUUUGAAAAGUUCAAGGAGUUUAAUGGUCUUUUUUUUCAGGCCUCAGACAAGACAAGAGACCUUUACAGUAAUCCACCAAAAUGAAAAUGAAUCGUUAAAUAAGUUUCUCCCUCUGUUAAAUGUUAUACUUCUGAUCAAGAUGAGAUGUGGCCUAAAUUUAAUUUCUUUUGCUACCUAAUACAGUGAUUUCUGUCUUGACUAUAUCCAACUCAAAAGAAACUAAUUCUAUUCAAACAACAUUAAAUAGACAAAAUGAAUAAAUAAAGCAGAGUGUUGUCUGCAUAGCUGUAAAGUAACAUUAUUGCCUUGUAAUUAAAACCCGAAGGGAGAAUAUAUAGGUUGAAUGACAGGGGCCCACAAACCAAACCCUGGGGUACUCCACAAUCAAUAAUCCACUCAGAUAUGUGUUUAGUUCAAAUUCCAAGUAAACAUAAUAUGAAAUAUUGGUUCCCCCAAAGCUGGACGACUAUGUAUAAUCAAAUUCAAUAAUCAAUUCAGAUAUAUGUUUAGUAAUAUUCCAACUCCAAGUAAACAUAAUAUUAAAUAUUAGUUUCCAGAAGCUGGACGGCUAUGUAUUAUCAAAUUCAAACCAUUUAUCGAAUUGAAAACAGUGCAAAGACAACAGUUUGGAUAUUGAAACCCAAAGAUUUAAUUGCCUUAUGAAUAGUAAAUCCUCAUAUCCUCACAAAAGUGAAUCGUGAAACCCAUUAUAUUGCACUUUUAAAAUGGCAAGUGCAGAUGCUCUAAAUUGACAGUCUUAUCAUGCUGCUAAUAACGCUCACAGUCAAGUUGGUUUGCUAGUUUUCUUGCCUUGCUUCACCCCCUCCCUCCUACCUUUCUUUCACUUUCCGUCUUUCAUAUGGCUCCCUUGUUUAUCCCACUUCCUUCCCUUUCAUCAUUGUUUGAUUCGGCUCUGCCAGCCUCUCCUCCCUCCUUCACCCACUCUUGAUUUUCUCUCAACAACUGCUUUGACACGUCUCUUUUGACAUGACCGGGGGCUCUGUAAACAGAGAAUGUGUCAGAUGCAGAUAGGUGUGUGACAGCAAGUUGUUCAAGAUGGCUCUCCAACACGUUGCCCUUCAACACACAGGUUAGUCAUCCACUUAGCAUUAGAUAUCAUUGUAAGAGCGCUUUGUGAGAUGGCAGCGUGUACCUGUGUGUCCUGUUCUGGUUGGAUUUGUGGAUGAAAUACCUUACAGAUUGCAGGACGCUUCAUAAACACUGCUAAUAAAGGUGUCUACUGAUGUCAUUUAGGAAAUGGUUUAGCCAAUUUCUGUGUUGACUAAAAAAAUAAGGUGAAACAGAAAGACAACAGCGGGUCUCACACGAACAGAGCUGCAGUCAUCCAUCUCAGUUACCUUUUAACAACUAUUGAAUACCAUUAAAUCUAAAACAGAUCCACGGUCUCCAGAGGUUUCAUUCUUUGUUUAUUACUUAUCCCUUUUAUUUCACAAGACCAGCAAAUCAAAAGGAAACAACUUAAAAGCUAAUGGAUGUAUCGGAAAGCAAUUUACAAACUUGUACCUACAGUUAUUUGACUUUUUUGAUGUCUAACUUCAAUUUAAGCGCCAUUAUCAAGUAUUUAUCUGAAACGAUCAGCUCAGUGUCUCUACAGCUGCGGGAUUAAAUGCUCCAGUUCAAGAGUAUAUCAUCACUUAGGGUAAACUGUAGCACCUCAGUUCUCUUUAGCUUCAGUUGUGCUCUUAAGGAAAGGUUGGCAUGCCGACACGUCAAAGUGACAAUGAGAAACAUCUCACCUCUGAGCUGUAAGCAUGCUUGCAAUGCCAUAGUGUUGUGUUAAGCUAACGGCGCCAUUUUGCUGAAGUGCUGCACCACAAAGGCACGAGCGUGGCUUAAAGCGGUUUCAUUCGAUACGUUGACCCUCCAUAUUAUCAUCUACUUUAAUAACACACCAUUUAAUCAUGAUGAGAAUUAUCUAACAGGUUUUGUGUUUGUUGAGGAAGCUAAUGUGGAUGUGCAAAAAACAAACUGUGUUUCUUGAGUAUUUAUAAAAGUCUGCAGAGCUCAAACUUCACCAGUUUCAACAGCUUUUGAUUCUAGAUGAACAAGAGGGCAGUUCAAAACCAUCUCUGAUUGUGUAAAACAUAAAUGUAGUUUGUCUCAGUGACCUUAGUCACAUAUCUGAGGCAGAGUUUUGAAGCCUAAUAACAGGUGUCAUAUUUGAAAUGCUUGCUAAACCUAACCUGUUCACCUUGCAAGGAGAGAAAAACGCAGAGUUGAGGCGGGUCAUCUUGGAUUGCUGCAACAAUGUGCCGAGCUUGUUCAAGACUUUUAACCUUAACAUCCUCAAAAUGAUAGAGUCACGAAAAAUUCACUUCUUGCUCAGUGUCUACAAAUAGUAAAGUACUUUUCAAUAGAGUCUCCUUGGCUUUUAAAGUUAGCCUCAAGUGAUCACUUGAAGAGGUGUAUUUUUUUAACUCUUGUACCUGGGCUCUGGGCUGCCAUUUGGUUAAAGGAAACUUAUUUUUAUGAGACAUUUGGAAGUCUAUAAGUCACCAUUUAACAGCCAAAUGGUCAUAGUCUUGGUCAUGGAGUCAUGGUGACUUUGAUUGAUUCCAGUUCCUUUCAAAAGCUCUUAAAAAAGGGAACUUUUUAGCCAUAAUUCAGUACCUGUUGUUAGUUAUUUUUUAUGUUUUGUUUUUUUUUCCAUUCUACUGAGUGGCAAUAGUAUCACUGAUAAAAAGAUGAAAUCUUCUUUGCCUAUAUUCGCAUAACCACCCAGAAAAUGUUGUUUGUAAUCGCAGACAUAACCAAUUUCACUCAGAAACGCAGCAUAAAGAGAAUUAGAAUAAAAGGGAAAAAGAGACUCUUGGAAUCAAAUAUGCCUUCAGAGUUAUGUAAUACCUAUCACUAGUAAAUAUUAAGUGUCCACUGGACCUUAAAAUAAAGUGCCACAGACUGUGUGCCCAUGUAAUAGAUGUUUUAAGACUGUGCAGUACCUUUUCAGCAUAAUUGUCUAAGUGGAGGAAAUACAGUCUCAGCAGUUUAACAGUAAGUGCUAACAGAAGUAGGUCUGCACCUAUCAGCCUCUCCAAAAAAACACUUGUUUGAUGUUGGACCUAAAACUACAGACUGCAUUUUACUCCAUCCUACUUUUUUUAGCAAGUUUUUCCUUUUUCCUCCUUCAUUUUCUCCAUUUCUGUCUGCUUCCUCAGCCUAAUUUCUGGGCUCAUGCCUGCUGGCUGCUUUACUUCUGAGGACAUCGGACUUUGGUUCGGGGCCCCUCUGGACACACAGAUGUGCUUAUUUAGAGAAUCGCUCAUGCUCCAGCGGAGAAUCUGGCUGGCAAAGGGAGCUAGACCUCCUCGUGGCAGAUUUUGUCUGCUGGCUCACUGUGUCCAAUACCUUUCGCGGGAGCUUCAUCGAACCCCCAAAGAGAGUCUUAGCAGGUUUCCCUCAAGACUUUGAUGAUGAUUCUGUCACAUACAAAGGCUAUUUUUGCUAUCCAUGAGAUGACAUCAAGAGGGGCACUUUUAGAAACAACCGUCUUUUUUGGUCUGGUUAUAUCAUUACCCUAAGGAAGUGAGGCAGCAUGUCUGACGCAAACAAGAUACCUCCGAUUAAAGUCGGCUGUCAAAAACGAUCUUGUGCUACAAUCACCAAAGCAGUCAUACAUUCAUAAAUAUGCCAUUACUUAGUGUCCUAUUUUCAAGAAACUGCAGUGCGCUCUAAUAUACUGCAGUGUGGGUCUGUGCAUGAGUGUUUGGAGUUGCAGUGUGAUAACUUUUUAAAAUGUUUUUGCUCCUUGUCACACGAGAUAGCGCUCACGCAAAGGAAAGAGGUACUGGUAAAUAGGGAUGAGUCAUGAAUGCAGAAAUAACACAUCUUCUCACCAAUCACUUCCUCCCCCCUGCUGACUCUCACACUUUCUCACUUCUUUUGUGUCCCGAUAACGCCCCAACAUGACAUGAAUAAGUUAACUUCUCAGGGAAAGUCAUGGGAAAAGGCGCUGAUUUUUUCUUUAAUCACCCAAAAGUAAAGAAGCACGGCAUAAAAAUAAUAUACAAAUGUAUCAGGGAUAUUUUUAUCUGAAUUGAAAUAGUGCAGCACAGGCUUUAGUAUACUUUGAAUUGGAAUGACAAAACUUUAGAUUUUGCAGACCGUGAAACUCUUCAAUUAUUCUGUGACUUCUAGUAUUUAUGAAUGAUUGUCAGGAAGCAGUAGCUUAUAUAAAUUAUUGUCUAUAGGAGUGAUACUCGGCUGCACGUCUCAAAUGAAAGUCUAUUCUAUGUACUUAUCGAGUGUGAUUAUCCUGUGGUGUGUUGAGCACCUCUCAAGGCAACAUGCCAACAUAAAUCUAAAGGCAAACAACCCUCAGACCUCAAGUGAUGCUCGCAACGGAUAUUGACAAUAGCUAAGAUAAGUUACUUUGGCAGUGAGAAACAAAGUAAAGUAAUAAAAGACUUCUUCUCUAAAAAUAUUAGAAAUUUUGAAAAAUCGCCCCAAUCUGAACGUUAACUGUUAUGUUGAUAAAAUACAUUUAUCGGAUCUCAGCUGCCUGUAAUAUCAAAUGUUCACAACAUUGACCAUAGCCCAUCCUUUAUGAAUGUAACCAGCAGUAAGUUAAGACAUGUAGGUGAAGGCGCUUAUCUCUUAACACGAACUCUAUUUCAACCUCAUCCUUAAGAGACUUCUCCUGUAAUUGAAAAAGGGAUAACAUCCCCAAGGCCAGCACCAUCGCUUCAUUCUCCAUACAAAAUGGACUGUUAAAUAGACAUCCAGCAAAUGUUUGAGUCGAGUUUUGUCACCUGCGAUCUGUCAAGGUGAACAUCCGUCUGAGGACGUAUUGAUUAAGCAAUAUGGGUGAGAUUGGCUGGGAGUUAGCAAGCAGUACAUCAAACCACCUAUGAAGGGUUCAGAGGGCAGUAAUCGGUGAGUGAAACGUGACUGAAAGAGCAAGAGUCCAAAUGUAAGGCACGAUAAGACACUGUAUUGCAACCUGAUUUCCAGAAAAGUCAGGGCACUGUUUAAAAUACUGAGAGACAGAUUUUGAAAAAUGAGAGAAACUAAAAAAUGUCAUGUCGUCUAAAGUCCAUUAUAUCAAAGAGUGAGUGAAUCUUGAAACAUCUUUGUGCUAAGGAAACACUUAGCUGUGAUCUUCAGGCCCACAAGCAGAAGUGCGUUAAAAAACGGACUUGACUCUGUAGUGGAAUUUACUGCAUGGGCACAAAAUCGAGAAACCUUAUGCACACAUGAUCCAGAAACAGUGACUUCUCUGUGCUUGGGUCCAAUGAAGAUCAACUGAAGUGGACUGGAGAAGACCCUGAACUGUUGAGCAGCAGAAACCCCAAAAUCAGGCUAGAAAAGGAUGACACUUCACUUGAGAAACCGGUCCCCUCAUCUCGUAAAUGUUAACAGUGUGUGUUAAAAAACGAGGUGAUGCAACACAGUGGAAAACAUGCCACUUAGAUAUCAGUGGCGGCUGCUGGUCUUUCAAUGAGGGGAAGCUCAUUUUUCUGGCCUACAUCAUAAUUGUAUUUGUUUAUUAGUAUGUAACAGAACAGAGUCGCCAAACACAACGGCAGUCAUUUUUAACAAAGACAAAAGUCGCUGAGGUCGGUAAGGUCUCCGGAGCAGUUAAGAACAACGGAAUGAAUAACUUGGAAAAUGCUCUGGUAGAUGUUUUAUUCUUCAAGAUCGCUGAUUCGCUUGUUUAGCUGUCAAUCAAAAAAGGAUUUCGCCUCAGACAGCUCAUCCAAUCAUGGAUGCAGAAGCUUGGAGUCCGGGAGAAAGUCGGGACCGCCCUUUCGCCAUAGAACUCCAGUGAAGCUGGGCUUCCGAUGGGCGGGACAAAGCCCAGCAUUUAUCCAAUGAGCGUCUAGUUUCGCUGCUGGAACAACCCACUUUAAGCUUCCACAUUGAAGUCAGCAGAAGCCCAGCGUCCGACUGUUUAAAGCGCUGAGGCGCUGCGAGGAUGAAUGAGAAUGAAGUUAUGCCGGUUACCUGUGAUUAUCAGCUUCUUAUCACAGUGUCUGAACAAAAGUUGAAGGCUUUCUAGUGCGUAUUUAGUUAAUGAAAUGUACACACAGCCGUACGUAUUUCACCACUUUUUCUUUUUUUUGAGGGGUGACAUUUUAAGGGAAGCCGAGCUUCCCUUGCAGUCUUAGAGCAAUCGCCACUGUUAGAUAUGUUGCUGCCAUUAAAUAAAAAUUAAGCAUUUCUUUUUCAUAGGACAAUAAUAUAUUACUAUUCAAUUUUCCAUGUGUUGUCCUUUCAUGGUUUGAAUUAAAUCCCUCACAAACCACAAAUUCUGUUUCAAUUAACCGUCUAGUCGUAGUCUUAACUUUUCUGGAUUGGGGUUGUAAUAUUAUGACCUUAAAUGACUCAGAGGUGCUCAGACUUUGUAUUAGGCAUGAUGUAAUGAGGCGCCAUAAGCUCACGUGUAGUACUUAAGAAAAUAAACGCUGGUUGUAAAAGUCAAGAAGUUCUGGAAAAUUACUAUUCAGUGAGAAAACAUAUACUAUAUUCAGGUCAAGGCAAGUCGUCGGUCUGAGUUUGGCUUCAUAAGGAUUGAAAAUCAAUUCAUAAAGAGUUUGGUUCCCUUUUACAGAGAGAUUAAAGCAGUCCUUGCUGUGACUGCUCUCUUUUAAAUCUACAAGUGCCAGGGGUACUUUUUUAAAUGGUCCAGAACAAAGUCUAACCAUCAGUAAAGAAAGGAUGUGAGAUUGAUUUUGAUCCUUUGGCAAACAAGUGUGACUUAUUGAUUCACUGUCAAAUACAGAGAAUUAUACAAGUCUUCUUUUCUCUUGUCAGUCAAGCAGUGCAGGAAUAAUUUGUCUUUGUGUUCGGAGUUUGUUUCUGCAUCUACAUAUCAUCGGUUCCAAAUGAAAAAAUAUACAAUUUUCUUGGCCUAAUUAGGUCGAUUUGCCUUUGAACCUGCCGGUGCGCUGCUGGCAGAAUCAUCUUUUCAAAUGCACCUACAAAGAGUCGGUGCACACCUACGCGCAGCCAAAAUCAUACACAAACACUGCUGCACAUCAGAAUACACAUAUUCACAGGGCUGCACACACACACACACGAACACACACACACUCAGAGAGCACUCUUCUGAGGAGUUUGACUUGUGCAGAUUGUCAGCUUGUGCAGACAGGGACACGUCAACAUCACAGGACUCACCCCCCUCAUGACAGGCGUCUCCAUGGCACCCCUCAGAUCACUGCCGCGCCAGCACGUCAGCGCCUUAUAUUUCAAUCUCCCCUCUCUUCUUCCCCCACAUCUCGAGCAUCUUCGUCAAGAAAUAUGUUUCAGAACAGAGCGAGGGUUUUUUUCUUGCCCACACACAUACACACGCCUCCAAAUUGCUCGCUGACAAACUUUGAGAAGAAGGAAUGUCACCGUUCUGCAUCUGUGUGGGGUUAAAAUGGGACACAGUCAUGAUGAGGGUAACUGACACAUCAAUACGACUGUAUGACUGUUCGCUCCACCCAGCAGUCAAAUUGUGAUGCUUUGUCACACCUUUGUGUCUCACACAGAUGCUCAUGGUGUCCUUUGGGGUCUGUGCAGGAAACAGAUUCUCAAUAUGUUGAAUGUAAAUCCAUCUGUAGCAGCGCUGGAAACUCUGAGCUCCAGCUGUCCAGCUCAUAUGAAGUCAGGUGUUACACAAACAGAAAGAAAAUUCACAAGGCAAUAAAGCUGGAAUCAAUUGAUUGGCUAAAAUUCAAUUGAGGAAACCAGGGGUCAAUUCCCAAGUCUCAAGUCAUUUAAUGGAUUUAAUAAACGAAUGAAAACAGCGGACUAAAAUCGUAUUAAAGUAAAGCUGCAGCUCGAGGCCUAGAGACUGUAUCCUUCAAAAAACAAGUAUUUUUAGUUCCUCCUCUAAGCAUGUUCUGGAUUUCCCAGUACAAGAAGACUUCUCCUUUUUUGUGAAUUAAUAUAGAAGUUUCAGUGCCCGGGCCUCACCAAACAAGCAUCUUUUUAUAACUUUUCCCUCUGAAGA